UACAUGUGGGGCAAGCGUUGUUCGGAAUUACUGGGCGUAAAGGGUGCGUAGGCGGUUCGUUAAGUCUGUUGUGAAAUCCCCGGGCUCAACCUGGGAAUGGCAAUGGAUACUGGCGAGCUAGAGUGUGAUAGAGGAUGGUGGAAUUCCCGGUGUAGCGGUGAAAUGCGUAGAGAUCGGGAGGAACAUCAGUGGCGAAGGCGGCCAUCUGGAUCAACACUGACGCUGAAGCACGAAAGCGUGGGGAGCAAACAGG
rnacentral:rRNA from 1 species